CAAACACUCAAACACACCACCCAUCAACACCAACUCCUCCCAUCAGGGACUUGGGAACCUCCACCCUCUCUCAAAUAGCUUGUAACCCCUACUACAAACCCUUUGUGUAAGAGGAAUAUUAGCUGAACUUCUCACUGCGAAGGCUUGAACCAGUAUAAACCUUGUGUCAAACUACCUACCAUCUUGGUCUAGCGCACACAGAGCACAGUUUACUAGUUGGUGAGCCUCUCGUCCAAAUCUAGAUUAGUACCAGUAUACAUUCCAAAUAAGCCAGUACUUGUCCUAUCAUGAUUAUAUUUUGACGUUCGCUUCAGUGGCACUUCGUAGAAUUUGAUUUCUCGGGAUGCGUGGCCCUUUUUUAAGGGCAACUGGUGUUGAAGCCGCCACUACAGUGGCGUGCUCGAGCCCCAACUGGUUAGCCAUCCUUGCAAAUGGCACUGUAGGGGCGGCUGGUGUUCCUCCAGCCGCCCUUAUAAAUGGAUCGAUAUGUAAGGAACACCAGCCGCCCUUAUAAAUGGAUCGAUAUGUAAGGGCGGCUCAAUCACCAACCGCAUCUACAAUCAAAUAGGGUAUUCAUGCACUAUGUCAAGGAACAUCACAGAAGGCAUUGUCCAAAAAGGAAGCACGAUUUUGGUAUCAAAACUCUAUGUUCGUGGAUGAAAGAGAAAAUUCAGAAAAAGGACUCGUACAAGGAUGAUCAACUCAUAGAGCUCGUCGGCGACCUUUGCCCGAGACUCCGACUUAGAUAGUAAUCCUAGAUACCAACACCUUUGUGAGCUUAAAAGGCUAUCUCUAGGCCUUUGAUAACAAUUUGAUGUACUUGUGGACUUGUACUUGUAUAAUUUGGCUUGUGAUUUGGACA